rnacentral:rRNA from 1 species
AUUGAACGCUGGCGGCCGGCCUAACACAUGCAAGUCGAGCGAGCGGCGGACGGGUGAGUAAUGUUUGGGGACUGCCCGAUAGAGGUGGAUAACUACUGGAAACGGUUGCUAAUACCGCAUACUGUCGUAUUACCCAUAUGGGAUUAGCUAGUAGGUAAGGGAAUUGCUUACCUAGGCGACGAUCCCUAGCUGGUCUGAGAGGAUGAUCAGCCACACUGGGACUGAGACACGGCCCAGACUCCUACGGAGGCAGCAGUGGUGAAUAUUGCACAAUGGGCGCAAGCCUGAUGCAGCCAUGCCGCGUGUAGGAAGAAGGCCCUAGGGUUGUAAAGUACUUUCAGUCGGGAGGCGUUACCGACAGAAGAAGCACCGGCUAACUCCGUGCCAGCAGCCGCGGUAAUUC